rnacentral:lncRNA from 1 species
UCAGAAAUUCUAUGGAAUGGAGGGUUUUGAUUGGUCUGGAAAAGCUUGGGUAAGGUAUUGAUGGAGUUCUGAUCACAAUGCACUCUUAUUUAUAGCCAAUGCAAUUGAUUUCCACACACUUUCUUUCAAAUGUUCAAAAAUAGAAAGUUUUUUCAUGAGCUAGCAUGGGCGUGCACAAAGCCUAAACAAUCAUUUACAAGGGUCCAAAAUCGUGCAUAGGUCAUGCUGAAAGUGUUGCAUUAAGCCAUGCAAAGUUAGAAUGAGUUUGAUCAUGAAAUUCUUCCAAAUGGUACCACACAUUUCACCCAUGUACAAGUCCUUUAAUUUUGAUCCAAAUUAUAUAAUCUUGGACUUUUUGGAAAGGUGAGAUCAAGGACUUGUAUUCUUUCACCAAGUUAUAUAAUCUUGAACACUUUUCCAUUUGAAGCUUGGGUCAUGAUGAAUUUUGAGGUGGAAGUUUGGAAAAUCAAACAUAUUUGAAAAUUUUCUAAGUACCAAGUCAAAUGUUCACUUCUUCCACCUUGAAUAACUUUUUCCAUGGACUUCAAAUGGAAAACAUUCCUUCAUAAAAGUUGUAUCUAUUUCAAACCUCUUCAAUUUAGUCACAAAUUUUACCUCAUUUGGAUUUGGCAUGAAUGAGUUAUGCGUUUUAGAAGUUGAGGAAAAUCACUUGUUCAAUGGUAAUGACCCAAAAUGACCUAUAAUGUUUCCUAUUGACACAUGCACUUGCAAGUUGAAAUUGAACUUACUUCAAACAUCAAGGUUGAAGUAGACAUACUGAAUUUCAUCAUGGAAUUUGAAUGGCUUUCAUAUCAUAAAAAUUAACCAAGUUAUGGUCUUGGGAAUUUGACCUCCUAACUAGGGUUCAGACAAAAUGGGCUAUAUUCUUUCACCAUAAAAAAUGACUUUCCAAGCUAAACUAGAUCUUUACUUCAACAUGAAACUUGUUUGUAAUGUCAUUUUGAGUAACGUUUCUCUUGGAAUCAUUUUCAUAUGACAAGAAUUGUAGGAGAUAGGGUCUAGGGAACCCCAGUUUGACCAGUUGACUUUCUCUGGUCAACCACCAUGAACCAUCUUGCUAGCUUGAUAUUCUCUUGACUUUUGGGACUCAUGGAGGAUCAUAUAUGCAUAAUAUGAUUUAAUAUGAAGUAUCCUUUUAAAUAUUUGAUCAAAUGGUGAAGAAACUUGCUGAGGAAGUCACACAAGAUACCCAAAUGAAUUAGGGCUUCCAAGGCAAACAAGCUUCCAACUCUUGAUGAAUCCAUAUAUGAUGUCUAGAGUCAAUGUGAACCAUCUCUUGAUUAGUCUCCUUGCAUUGAGGGUCUUAAACCCUAGAUAUGAGCUUGAUGGAGCAUAGGUGAGCAUACACACUACCUACAAAAACAACAAACUAUACAUUGACAUAUUUUUCGUAUUUUGGUUAGUAAAUAAUGAAAGACAAAGUAUGAUAUAAUCAAAAUGUGCUUGGUGACCUCUCCUAAUGCAAUCCCAAGGAAUGAGGGGUAAGGAGGAUGCCAAGGUGUGAUCCCAAAGCUAAUGCACAUGAUGAGAUAACAUGAGGGAUCUUAGGGUCAAAAUUGGGGUCUUACAACGAGUUGUUGCUCUAAGUGUGAUCUUGAUUUUUUUUCUUACUGUGUUCAUAUUGCUUAUCUAGAAGCACUAAACAUCUUCUUGUAAUUUUAAAAUAGUUGUUGUAAAUUUCCUCAAGUGACUUGUGAAGUCUCUAGACUUCAGAGGAUUAAGAGAUCAGUGUACUCUUAGACGUUUGUUGUAAUAUUUCUAGAUUAUUGGAUUAAGUACUUAUUGAAGGAGAAAUCACCUUGGUCGGGUGGACUGGAGUAGCUUUGAAUUUCAAGCGAACCAGGAUAAACUUCUGCGUUGUUUGUUUUGAUUUUUGUGUUUGUGGCGUUUCCAAACGUUUUUAUUAUCAGUGAAAACAAUUCAAACCCCCAUUUCUUGUUUUUCUCUACCUUCAAUUGGUAUCAAAGCUUUGUCUCUGUUAUUGAUUUUCAAAUCAAACACUUAAUAGUGUAGAGCGAUCCAGCGUGAGAAAAACAUCAUGGCCAACACCAAUGAAAGAGAUAGAUACAAUUCUAAACCUCUAGUAUUCGAUGGAGAGAAUUUUGAUUAUUGGAAGGACAUAAUAGAAAGCUUCUUCUUAGGCUAUGACGCUGACUUAUGGGACAUUACCAUAAAUGGUUAUGAACCACCUGUAUCUGCUCUUGGUAUUUUUAUUGCAAGAAAAAAAUGAGUGAUGAUCAGAAGCGUGACUUCAAAAAUCACCACAAAGCCAGAACGAUUCUGUUGAAUGCAAUAUCCUACAAUGAAUAUGAAAAGAUCACCAACAGGGAAACAACUAAAGAAAUAUUUGAUUCCCCAAAGAUGGCUCAUGAAGGCAAUAAUCAAGUCAAAGAGACUAAGGCUCUGGCCUUAAUCCAAAAAUUUGAAGCCUUCAGAAUGGAGGAUGAUGAAUCUGUAGAGGUAAUGUUUUCUAGAUUUCAAACUUUAGUUGCAGGACUCAAGGUUCUGGACAAAGGAUACACAACUACAGACCAUGUCAAAAAGAUAAUCAUAAGUUUUCCAAAGAAAUGGAGACCUAUGGUUACUUCCUUAAAACUAUCCAAGGAUCUGAAUAACAUAAGCCUGGAAGAACUAAUCAUCUCCCUUAGGAGUCCCGAGAUAGAGCUAGAGGAAGAUGAGGCUCAAAAUAAAAGUAAAUCAAUGGCUCUAAAGUCCAGAUCAGAAAGACGAAAUCCAGAAAGGAACAAAGCCUUUCAAGUUGAAGAAGAAGACGACGAUGAUUCUGAAAAAGAUGAUUUUGAUAAUGAAGAAGAGUUAUCUAUUAUAACCAAAAGAGUUAAACAACUCUGGAGAAAAAGGAACAACAACUUUAGAAGACCUAGACAAAAGGGAGAUCGUUCAGAGUCAACUUCCAAAAGCAAACCAAACAAAGAGGUAACCUACUAUGAAUGUAAAGAACAAGGACACUACAGAAAUGAAUGUCCAAAGCUCAAGAAAGAUAGUUCCAGAAAAGAAGGAUUCAAUAAAAAAUCCUUCAAAACUAAGAAGGGGAUCAUGGGAACUUGGGAUGACUCUGAACCUGACACCUCAGAAUCAAACUCUGAAGAGGAACAAGCAAAUGUUGCAUUCAUGGCUACCAUAUUUAGAAGUUCAUCCGAAAGAGAAUAUGACUCUGAAGAGGUAUUUUCUGAACUCUCUUACUCUGAUAUGGAAGCUUGUUUAUUAGAAUCUCUAAGCUCUUAUCAUAAGCUUCGACAGAAAUUCAAGAUCCUAAAAAGGGUCCAUGAAGAAACUGUUGAAGAGUGUGAUAAGCUUGAGAAAGAGGUUUCUGAACAUAAAGGAAAAAAAUUUAUCCUUGAAAAAGAAAAUGAACUUUCAAUCAAAAAAUGCUUAAAACUUGAAGAAACUCUUUUGAAAGCUCCACCAACUUCUGACACCAUCAUAUAUAAAUGGGCUUGAAAGAAGUAAAAUGGAUUUUAUGGGCUUGAAAGAAGUAAAAUGGAUUUUAUGAUUUAUGGUGUUAGUCACAAUAAGAAAAGAGGAACUGGAUAUGACUCUGAUGAAGAUGAGCAAAUACCUUCUGCAGAGGACAAGCCUAAAUCUCCUUUUUCUUAUCAUUACACACAUGCACAAACACAAAGAUUUAAUAAUGCUAGAAAAACCAAAGUUUCUAUAAACCUGGGAGAACUAAUCAUAAAGGACCCAAAAUAUUUUUGGUACCAAAAGAUAAAAUAGUAUAUGUUGCAUAUAUCUUGUGCAGUAGAGUUAAGAGACCAAUCAUGGUACCUGGACUUUGGAUGCUCGUGACACAUGACGGGAAGAAAGCAUAUGUUCCAAAUCCUGGAACUUAAAGACGUUGGCUUCGUAAGCUUUUAAGGAAAUCAGAAAGGAAGAAUCAGAGGAUUUGGAACAAUUGAUAAUGGAUCUCUUCCCUCUAUUUCUGAUGUUCUUUACAUAGAAGGAUUAACGCAUAACCUGUUAUCCAUAAGUCAAUUAAGUGAUAACGGUUAUGAUAUAAUCUUCAAUAAAAAAAACUGCAAAACUAUUAAUCAGAACAAUGGGACAGUUACUUUCAUUGGUAAGGGGAAGAACAACAUUUACAAAAUUAAUCUUUCAGAUCUAAAAGAUCAAAAUGUAAAUUUUUUAAUGUCUGUAAAUGAAGAGCAAUGGGUGUGGCAUAGACGUUUGGGUCACAUUAGCAUGAGGAUGAUUUCUCAGCUAAAUAAACUUGAGUUAGUCAGAGGCCUACCUAAGCUGAAGUUUUCUUCAGAUGAUCUUUGUGAGGCAUGUCAGAAAGGAAAGUUUUCUAAAACAACUUUCAAAAAUAAAAAUGUUGUUUCUACCUCUAAGCCUCUAGAACUUCUUCAUAUUGACUUGUUUGGACCUGUUAAGACAAUGUCAGUCAAUGGUAAGAAGUAUAGACUUGUCAUUGUUGAUGAUUAUAGUCGCUAGACAUGGGUAAAAUUCCUAAGACACAAGAAUGAGUCACACUCUGUGUUUACUAGUUUCUGCUCAAAAGUGCAAAAUGAAUUUGACUCUAAAAUCAUCAGAGUUAGAAGUGAUCAAGGAGGUGAAUUUGAAAACAAACUUUUUGAAGAGCUUUUUGAUUCUAAUGGAAUAUUCCAUGAUUUCUCCUGUCCUAGAACUCCACAACAAAAUGGAGUUGUAUAAAGGAAGAAUAGGACUCUCCAAGAAAUGGCCAGAACCAUGAUCAAUGAAACAAAUGUAGCUAAGUACUUCUGGGCUGAAGUAGUGAAUACAACAUGUUAUAUUCAGAAUAUAAUCUCUAUUAGACCUAUUCUGAAGAAGACUCCUUAUGAACUGUAUAAGGGAAGAAAACCCAACAUUUCCUAUUUUCAUCCUUUUGGAUGUCCUUGUUUUAUCCUAAAUACUAAAGAUAAUCUGAACAAGUUUGAUCCUAAAGCACAAAACUGUAUUAUGUUGGAAUACUCAGAACGCUCUAAAGGCUAUAGAGUAUAUAAUACAGAAACAUUAAUUCUGGAAGAAUCAAUACAUGUCAGAUUUGAUGAUAAGCUCGACUCUUCUCUAUCUGACUAGUACACGUCCAGAUAUAUUAUUCAACGUCUGUCUCUGUGCCAGAUUCCAGUCAGAUCCAAGGUAAUCUCACCUAACUGGUGUUAAGAGAAUCCUAAGGUAUCUUAAAGGAAAACCUAACUUGAGCCUGAUGUAUUAGAAAACAUCAGAGUAUAGGCUUUAUGGGUAUUGUGAUGCAGAUUAUGUUGGAGACAGAUUGGAACGCAAAAGCACAUCUGGAAACUAUCAGUUUCUAGGAGGAAACCUCAUCUCAUGGGCUACCAAAAGACAAUCAACGAUUGCACUCUCAACUGCAGAAGCAUAGUACAUUUCAGCUUCACUAUGCAGCACUCAGAUGCUCCGGAUGAAGAAUCAGCUAGAGGAAUUUCAGAUAUAUGAGAGUAACAUCCCUAUAUUUCAUGACAAUACUGCUACCAUGUGUUUAAGUAAGAAUCCUAUUUUUCACUCCAGAGCAAAGCACAUAGAAAUUAAACAUCAUUUUAUCAGAGACUAUGUUUAGAAAGGGGUAAUAAUCUUAAAAUUCAUUGAUACAGACCACCAAUGGGAUGAUAUCUUCACAAAACCCCUAGCUGAAGUUAGAUUCUCCUUCAUUCUGAAACAUUUAAACAUGGCAGAUUGCCCAGAGUGAUUCUAAACUUGUGCUUCUCCUCUAACGUGUAAAAAUAGGCUCUGACUUAAACCUAUCAUUGGCAUCUGGUUCUAGUUUUGAUACUUCUACCAGUUAGAUGUAAUCUAAAUUAGAAACUCUCUAAAUCAAAAUCUUUUGGUACUCUUAAUUUCAUAAACAUUAACAUGUGGUCUCUCUAGCGUCUGGCCUUGGAUCUUCUAGACAACUGUCUAGCACAGAACUCAAGAGCAAGACUAUUGAGAUCUCCUUGAUCAGUGUGCAUAUUUUUAGGAUUAGACUACCAUCAUUACCUGCAGUUAAUUCUCCCCGAGUGUGUCAACUCAGAUUUUUGAGCUAAUUAAUUUUGUUGUUUCCUAUUCUCUAUUAACGUUGUCGUUUUGCAUGUUACAUGUUGUGUAUAUAUAUUUUUCACAAUUCUCACUUUCACACUUUUCACUCACAAACCUACACAAACCCUUUUAUGCUCAAACUCUUCAUCAACUUCCUUCAAAUCAUCAUCAACAUUUAACAACAUCUUCAUCUUCUCCAAAUGGAUUCUCAACAACAACAGGUCUAUAACUACUCUCAACAAAUGGAAGCAAAUGAACAUCUUGCUAAAGCUUAACAACAAACCUCUACUGAAAAUGCUACAACAUCAACCGCUAUUUACAAGAAACCCCACAUCCUUGAUCGUCCACCUCACAUCAACCUUGCAACCCCAUUUGAGAAACUGGAAGUUCUCUGUGAGUCUCUGGUGGAUUUUGAAAAUAUGAAGCGCAAUGGAAUUGAUCUUACUGAAGAUAUGAAUAAGCAAGGCUGGGGAAAUUAUUUUCAAAGGCUCUAUGGUCCCAUCUACACCUUCCUCGUCAAAGUGUUAUGGAGAUUCGCAGACUGUGAUGACCAUUUCAUAGUCUCUUAUGUCCUUGGAUUUAAGAUGGUUAUCACUGAGAAGUCAAUUGCAAAACUUCUAGAUAUGGAGAAAAUGGGGGCAGAAGAAUUUAUAACAUAAACCCUAGGGAAAGAUACAUGUCCCAGGAGAUUGUACCAACCAUCUUCAAACAGAACUCUAAAGGGAAAUCAUCCAAGAACAAGGAACUUCACCAGAAUCUAAGGGUCUGGUUAAAGAUCAUUCUGGGUACCAUCUACCACCGUCUAGCCUCAAACUCUUCUGACUACAUCAAGACAAAUCAAAAGUGUAUAUUAUAUUUCCUCCACAAAGGACUCAAGCUGAAUCUGCCAGUGCUACUAUUCAAGUAUCUGAGGGACUCAGUCAAGGAUACAAGAAGCCACAUGAAGACCAGAAACUACAUUCCUCUGGGGAGUCUCAUCUCUGAUGUUCUGAUUGAAAUCGGGAUGGUGGACCAUCUGAUAUCCUACAACCUGAUGGAAGAUGUGACUGUAGAUGUUGGAAAGCCUCUGAAUGCCAUAAAUCUGAUGAGCAUGAGGGUCAUCGGAAGAGUCUUGGUCAAGCCAACUUUGGAAACUUCCUAGGAAGAUCUGAUGGAUCAAAGAAAGAUACCCAAUGAUCUCUAUCUGUUCUCCAAGAUAGAUCCUCUAGAGGUCAUUGCCCAUUACCUCUAGGACCUGACAUCUCAAGGGGUGGAUAUCUCAGAGUUCUCAGUGGACUGGCUUCUAGAGCAGCCACCUAACUUUAUGAAAAAGAAGAGAGAUCCUUUUAAGAGGUCCAAGAAGUCAAAGACUCUGAAGCUGGGAGAACCGUCUGCAACCAGAUCGCAUGCGCCUCUAAACUCCUCUGUCUCAAGUAAGUCUCACCCCUCUGAAACUCCUUAUUAUUCUAAUUUAAAGCAACUAUAUUUCUCUCUACCUCACCCAUCUUCCAUCUAUACCCUCUUUGAACCUACCAUAUCUAUUCCACCUACCACUAAACAUCACAACUCUAACCCUUCCUCACCCCCUCCACGAUAAAUCAACCUCACUACCACAACACUUCCCACAUCUGAAACUUCACCUCUGAAUGAAUCCCUCCCACCUCUCUCCUCAACUCACUCUUCAUCACCAUAUUGCGACAUAUCCUCUGACUCUGAACAGCCAGAAAUCUUUGACCCUUCAUCCCCAACAUUGGCCCAACUACAAGCCAUAACACUAUAUAACCAACCUCCAUUUAUCCCAGAUACCUAUGUGCCUUCUUCUUCUGAACCUCAAACAAAACCACCUUCUAAACAACCAUCUGAACCCCCAACUGAAUAAUCCUCUGAAGCUCCCACCCAAACCACCCACAUUUCACCAGAACCCAUCAAUCCAUCUUCUGGACCUGAACCAACCUUCCCCACCCUAAAAGAGUCCGUUGAUUGAUUUUCAUAAUCCUCAGCUGUAAAGCUCAGAUCACUGUCUGAAUAGUUCAAACUAAGUGAUAAUCCCUCUAAAGUGAGAAAUCACUGGAAUGGAUUUCUCAUAUGGAUGACAUCUGAGGUCUUCAAGCUGAAAGGCCUCCAUGAACAAGUCAAAAAUGACUACAUUAGAGAAGCUAAGGAGAGGCUAGAGGUUUGUCUGACCAGAGAAGCCGAAGAGAAAUCACACCAGGAAGCUAAAGAAAUCGCAAGACGGAAAGCUGAAGAGUAAGCAACAAAAGAAGCCGAAGAAAAGGCUGUCGCUGAGGCUUCUGUUGCUGAAGCCAAGGCUGACGUUGAAGAAGCAGCACACAUUAUUGCAAAAGAAGCCGCAAAGGCAAAGGAAGUUGCUCUGACUCAGGGUGAGACCUCUAACUCUGAUCUUGCUCCGGAGGUGCUCAAGACUCUGGAAGAAAUCCAGAAGGAACAACAUCUUGUGAGAGCCAUACUAGAUCAACAGGACUCUGUCAACUCCAGUAUUCAGACUCUCCUGACUUAGUUGCUUCAUAGGAUGCCGCCUCCUCCAAACCCUUAGAAACCUUAGGCUUUAUGCUUUGUGUUUUUGUUCCUCUAAGUGUUUUAGCUUCUAUGUUUUUCCUUCUAUGUACCUCUUUCACUUUAUCCAAUGAAAUUUUGUUUUAUAUGUUUCUUGGUUAUGUCUUUUUGACUCUGACAAAAAGGGGGAAAAGUAAUGAAAAAACCUUCUGAUGAAAUUAAUAUCUAAGCCUCAUAAUGCACUCCUUACAUUCUGAAAUUUUAAAUAUAUUGUGCAGUCUAAGUUCUUGUAGGAAGUAUUUGAGUAAAACAUCUGAGAAACAAGCUAAGCAACAUAAGAGGCUCUGGUAAGAAACUCUAAACCUUCUAAAGUAUCAAAUUUAGGGGGAGCUUGCUUAUCUCAGGGGGAGUCUUAGUAUAUCUGACUCUAAAAUUAUUUUCCUUUAAUUAUUAUGAAGUAUAAUUGUUUCAUCAACAGGCUGAAGUUUUGUCAUCAUUAAAAAGGGGGAGAUUGUUAGAACAAGAUUUUGGUUCUGCAAUUUAUCUCUAAGUUUUGAUGAUAACAAAGGAUGAAACACUUUGGUACCCUAAUAAAAUCAUCUAAGUGUGCAAGACUCUAAUGAAAAAUGAACCUGAUGAAACAACAUCUAACAUCACAAUAAUCAAGAACAACAGACUUAGAGUCAAAGGUAUUCGCUCUAACACUAAAGACAAUGAUGUCCACAUCAUUUGACAUCCGAAGACUCUAAAACUCUGCAUCUAAGGGAUCCCACACAUGAAUACUCUGAUGAUCCUUACAUCUGAAGAAUGUCUAAUUAGAGAUUAUUCAAGAACUUUUGAAGAAAACACAUCAGGCAACUAUCUGAAGAAUACAAGAUCUAAGAGAAGUAUCUGAAUUCCGUGCAUUCUGAUUGACGUCCAACAGAUCAGAUCAAGACUUAACAACAAAGUAUUCCAAAUAUGGUAUGAAUCUCUAUAUGGAGAAAAUUGAAUACUCUCCUAAACUUCUAUGGAAAGGACAAUAAAAUUAAUGUCAUUUAAGUCCCAUCAUUGGCAAGAUAUCAGCAUCAAUGCUUCAUUCAACGGUAUCAUCUCCAAGCACUAUAAUAAGGCCCAACUAUCAUCAUACCAAAUAUACGAAGAUAUAACACAAGAAUUCCGCACAUCAAAAUUAAGUCAUACACAAAAUUCUUGUCUUAUGUUAUCACACUAGUUGUUGCUCUAAGUGUGAUCUUGAUCUUUGUUCUUACUGUGUUCAUAUUGCUUAUCUAGAAGCACUAAACACCUUCUUGUAAUUCUAAAAUAGUUGUUAUAAAUUUCCUCAAGUGAUUUGUGAAGUCUGUAGACUUGAGAGGAGUAAGAGAUCAGUGUACUCUUAGAUGUUUGUUGUAAUCUUUCUUGAUUAUUGGAUUAAGUCUUUAUUGAAGGCGAAAUUACCUUGGCCAGGUAGACUGAAGUAACUUUGAAUUUCAAGAGAACCAGGAUAAACUUUUGCGUUGUUUGUUUUGAUUUUUGUGUGUGUGGCGUUUCCAAAAGUUUUUAUUGUCACUGAAAACAAUUCAAACCCCCCUUUUUUGUUUUUCUCUAUCUUCAAACUCCUAAUUAUGAAGGCCCAUUAUAUUGUCAAGAGAGCCUUCGCGGUGCAUUGAUUCUUACAACUAUGGAUGGUGAGGAGUUCACGCGUCAUGUGAAUGCCGAUGCAGUCAAGAAAUUCUUUGCCUAAAAAAGGAAAAGAAUAGCUCUCUAAGUUGAAAACCCAAAAGGGCCGCUUAGGCAAAAAUGAGCAUCUCGGUGGAUUGAAAACAUGAAAGGGCGAACCAGGAAAAAGUUAGAGACAUAAAACAGAAAAUUUAUCCCGGUAUAAUGAGUACCCCACCUUGGGGAAAUCUAGAAAAAAAUUAGGGAUCUUGGCAAGUAACUGCAUCCAGCUGGUCCAAAUCAUUAAAGUAGUCUUGAGUAGUCAUUUGGUUCUGAUUCAUCAUUCUCAACCGAAGACAAGCCCAGUGGAUUUUGAAGUUGGUAGGGAGAGUAGUGAUCAUUGUAUUCAAUGUAGUCCUUUUUCCAUUUAAAUUACCAUUUUUCAAACUUUGUAAAGAUCUAUAGAGUCCCGCCAUUUGCGGACUACCAUUCUAUUAAAUAAAGUUGAGCUUUUAUCUAAUUAUUUGAUAUUCUUAGUUAUUUAUAUUUUAAAAUUGAAUUUUUAUGACGAUAAUUUUGAAAUAAAUCAAUGAAUAAUUAUUUUUCUUAAGAUAAUAAAAACUUUCACUUCAAGAAUAAUCGAUUUCGGUAAGGAAGGUCAACAACAAUCUAAGAACAAGUAAGUCUUGAAGUGUGAAACAUUGUUGUCUUCCCCAAGCAGUUGGUUUGAUGACUUUUUCCUCCCCAACAGUUUGUUGUUCAUUCCCAGCAUGGUUAAUAAGUUGCUCCCCAAGCAACCUAUUAUCCCCGGUUGAGCUGAUGAUUGGUCCCCUUUGAAGUUUAUCUUCACCGACUGAAGUAUCCAUGUGUUGCAUUCCCCAGUUUGUGACUUAAUGAUUGAACCCUAGAUAUCUUGGAACCUUUAUUUGGUCUCCAGACUCCCAAUUGCAUUUGUUUGUAUUGCAUAAUCGCGGUAGUUUCUCCCUUGUGUGAGUCAGAUUCGAUUAUCUUUGCCUUGGAAUUGGUUUAUUUCGCAAUCUCCCAGAAGAAUCUGAUGAUUAUUGAGAGUCUGGUGGUCUUUGAUUUGUCCCAGCAGGUCACGAGAUCGCUAGCAAUUUGCACGAUUCCCCAUUCAGAGUUUUACCUCUUGAAUCCCUGGAGGAGUUUUGUCGUCUGAUAAAAGUUCCUUCAUUCCUGACAGUGUUUGGUUCUGAGCAUUAUUAAUUAAGUCCCCUGCAAGGUUGUCUCCCAUUUGAUAUGGUGUUGACUUAAAAUUCCCCGUAGCGUUGACUCGUUUUAGGAUCCUCAGUAGAUCAAUCUUUAUCCUUCAGCAGUGUUGUCUUUCCCCACGAAUUUUACCGUGAGUUGGUUGGAAACAUGUUCUCCGUGUCUUUCCACAGCCAGAGAUUGAUUUAUUCGGAGCUAGAUGAUUUAUGUUCAUCCCUAGAAGAAUCUCCAGUGGUUGUUUCCAUUCUGUUGAGAUUAGCCGUUUGUUUUGUAGUGAUGAUUCAAAUCUUCGUUAUUUGUAUCCUUUAGGCUGUUUUGUCAGCAUAAUCAUAAUCAUGCAUGUAUAUUCAUGCAUAAAUCACAACAUCAUAUAUUUCAUUAUGCAUUUUAUCGCAUUGAUUUUUUUCUGAUCGCCUGCUUUGGUGAUAUUAUUUCCCCAUACAGAUUUGGUGUGUCUUUCCUCCUUCAAUUAAAGAGUGUCAGCCCCUUAAGUAGAAAGAGUUUAUCCUUUCUCAUUCCCCACUGAGUUAUUUCCUUGUGGAUGAUCAUUAUUUCAGCUUCCUCCUCAGAGUAUCAUCUGGAUUGAACCAUUCCCCUUAAGUUACAUCAUCAUUGGGUUGAGUCUUGUUUGACUGUUUCUUUCUAGCUCUUACCUAGAUAGAUCUUUUGGUCCCCGAGAGUUUAUUACUCAGUAACUGGUAAUAUUCUUCUUGAUGAUUGAGUACUUUACCUUCACCCAUUAACCGGUAAAAGGUAAUUUACCCCUUUGUUUUCCCCAGCGGAUUCAUUUUCACGUUUCCUCGGCAAGUCUAUCCUUGAUAUCUUCACCCUAACCGAUGACGGAUAUUCUUCCUGUUUGGUAUUCUACCCAGUAAAAAGGUAGUUGUAAUCCCUAUAUUAUUCUCUAGAGAGUCUAUCCUUGAUAUGUUCACUUUAACCGAUGAUAGAUUUUCUCUUCUUUGCAGUAUUCAACCCAGUAACUGGUAGAUAUAAAAUCCUAUUUCCCCCUCUGAGUCUAUCCUUGCUAUGUUCACUUUAGUCAGUGACAGAUACUCACUCUUUGGUAUUCUACCCAAUAAUCGGUAGUCGUAAUUCAUAUUUUUCCCCGGAAGUCUAUCCUUGAUAUGUUUACCCUAACCGGUAACGAAUAUUCUUCUUCAUUCCCUAGGUGGUCUAUCCUUGAUAUGUUCAUCCUAACCGAUAACAGAUAUUCUUCCUUUGAGUUUAUCCUUGAUAUUUUCAAUUUAAUAAGUGACACAUACUCUCUCUUUGGUCUUUGGCUCAAUUGCAGGUAGUUGUAAAUUCUAUUUGAUUUCCUUUCCCUAGUAGGUCAUUCUUACCUAGUAACCGGUAAUGAAUGCGCCUUAUUUUCCUCAGUGAGUCAUCCUUGAUAUGUUUACCCUAACCGGUACCGGAUGUUCCUCUGUCAGAGUCUAUUAUCUUCUUACCCAGUAACCGGUGGUAGAUAAUAUGUCUCUUUUACUCCUGUGCUGAAGUUUUUCUUCCCCAAUUGAGUUUGAGUUCAUAUUUCUUUAUGAAAACAAAUUUCCUUUUGGCUUGAGUAUUUCAGUUUUGUUCUGAUUGACUCUCGUCCCCUGUAGAUUCCUUUAUCCCCAGUCCGAGUUUUUCCAUUGAUUUAUUUUCAUGGAAAUCCCCUCGUGUCUCCCAUCAAUUUUUCAAGUCAUAGCCUGGCCUAUGCAUAACUUUUAUCCCCCAGAGUCUCUGUCUCCCUAGUGAGUUUUCCUUACGGAAUGCAUUGUGCUCCUGUGGACUUUUAGUCUCUCUGGAUUCUUUUCCUUUUGGCAAUAUAUUCCUUACAAAGAUUAUUUUAACAUUCAUAUCAUAUGCAUCAUGAGGUCUCUUAGGGACCAAUUUUUUUUCUUGAUGUUGUUAUUUAAAUCCAUUAUACUAAGUUGAUAUGAAGAUUUUAACCUUCACUUCCUCAGCUAGAAUGUCCUUAAAUAGCGGCAGUUGUAAGACCCCAAUUUUGACCAUAAGAUCCCUCAUGCUAUCUCAUCAUUUGCAUUGGCUUUGGGAUCACACCUUGGCAUCCUCGUAACCCCUCAUUAAUUGGGUUUGCAUUGGGAGAGAUCACCAAGCAUAUUUGAUUGUAUGAUACUUUAUUUUAUUUUGUUUACUAACCAAAACACCAAAAAUAUGUCAAUGUAUAGCUUUGUUUCUUUUGUAGGUAGUGUGUGUGCAUCCAUUUAUGCCAUAUCAAGCUUACAAGUAGGGUUUGAGACCCUCAUAGCAAGAGAUAAAUCAGGGAAUGGUUCACCAUUGGUUCUAAACAUCAUAUAUGGAUCUCCGUGUUCUUCAUUUAUCAUUUUGAUCAAGAAUUCAUCAAGAGUUUGAAGUUUCUUUGCCUUGGGAGCCCUAACUCAUUUGGGUAUUUUGUUUGACUUCCUCAGCAAGUUUCUUCAACAAUUGGUCAAAUAUAUAAAGGGAUACUUCAUUAUAUGUAAUAUUAUGCAUAUAUGAUCCUCCAUUAUCUUUAAAGAUCAAGAGAACUUCAAUAUUGCAAGUUGGUUCAAAGAGGUUGACCAGAGAAAGUCAACUAGUCAAAACUAGGGUUCCCUAGACCCUAUCUCCUACAAUUUUUGUCAUAUGAAAAUGAUUACAAGAGAAACUUUACUCUUUAUGAAAUUCAAAACAACUUUCAUGUUGGCAUCAAUAGCUAGUUUUGCUUGGAAAGUCAUUUUUUUAUGGUGAAACAUUAUAGGUCAUUUUGUAUGUGCCCUAGUUAGGAGGUCAACUUCCAAGGACCAUAAAUUGCUCAAUUUUUAUGAUAUGAAGUCCAUACAAGUUUCAUGAUCAAUUUCAAGGUGUCUUAUAAAACUUUUAUUAUUUGAGAAAUGUCAAAUUCAACUUUAAAGGGUAUGUGCCAAGAGGAAACAUUAUAGGUCAUUUUGGGCCAUCACCAUUAAACAAGCAAUUUUCCUCAAAUUCUAAAAUACAUAACUCCCUCAUGAAAAAUCCAAAUGAUGUUAAAUUAUUGACCAGAUUGAAGAGGAAUCAAAGAUCUAUAACUUUUAUGAAGAAGCCAUUUCCAUUUGAAGCUCAUAGCAAAAGUUAUUCAAGGUGGAAGAAGUGAUCAUUUGACUUUGUACUUAGAAAAGUUUCAACUAUGUUUGAUUUCUCCCACUUCCACCUCAAAAUGCAUCAUGAUCCAAGCUCCAAAUGAAAAUGUGUUCAACAUAAAAGUUGUUUCCCUUGAUGUCACCUUUCCAAAAAGUCCAUUAUCACUUCAUUUGGACAAGAAUUGAGGGACUUGCGAAUGGUUCCUUUGGUGGGCAUGUUUUGGCAACAUUUGAACUCAAAUGGUUAUUUCCUUUUGCAUGCUUCCAUGUGAUGACUUCAAUAUCCAUUAUGCACGAAUUGGAGUUGGAUUACAUCAUGAUUUGGGCCUAAUUCAAUGCCCAUACACCCAUGCACCAAUGUUUCUAUUUUUGGCCAAAAUUGAAAAGGUGCAAAACUGAAUUCCAUAGCCUAUAAAUACAACUAAUUGCUUCAAGAUCAACACACACACACUGCCCAAGCCUUGCCAAGCUAUCUUAGAACCCCACUCCAUAGAAUUGCUUGAAGGUUUCUUUGAAAUUGAGUUUGAACUUCACCUUCUGUUUUGAGAUUCAAACUCCAAGGAUUCAUUCCCAUUUUCAUCUCAAUUGGUCACUGCAAGCAAGAGGAGGAAGAAUCAAGUGAAUUCAGAUCAAGAUCAAGCCAAAUCACUGCUACCCGAAGGUGAAUUUUCUCAAACUUUUCUUCUUCGAUUUCCCUUAUCUCUCAACUAUUUUGAUUGAUUAUCGGUUGUCUUAAGACCUACCAAUGUAGGAAACAAGAUUGAGUUGCUUUGAGGCCAAAUCGAAGCAACUCAGAUCGUGCACCUCAAAAUUCAAUUCCUCAUAUCUCUCAAUAUAUUUGGAAUUGGACAAAAUUGAGGCCAGAUUCGAGCUCCUGAGCAUUUUUCCUUUGAAUUAGUGUACUCACUUUUUAUUUUAGUGAAGGUUGGUGGUGGACCAGUCUGGUGAGGUCCACCAGAGAAGGAGGCCGGAGCUAGGGCUCCGGUUGUGCGUUGGCGCCUUCCCAACCUUCUUACCUGAUUCAAAUGUUUGAAUCAUGGCCCUUGGUUUUAACUACCACGCGUGUGGCGCAUUGACUUGGUUCCACCAUGUUCCCUAUGCGCGUGGCCAUCAGAUCUGCCACCUCAAUUAAUUAGGGAGAUCCGAUGGCCCUUGUUUUUUUUUAAUUUCUGAUUUUUCAUUUAAUCCCUUUAUUUUGUUAGUUCAUAUUAAUUUAAUUUUUAAUCCAAAAAAUAUGGGACUUUCACCAAAAAUGUUUAAAUAUUUUUCUUUCAUAUUUUAAAUUAAAAUUAUUUUUUGGAUUAACUUUUAUAUUUUUCAUGAAUUAAAUGUUUUUUUUAAUUUUUUUAAUUGUUUUAAAAUACUAAUGACUUUCCAAAAAUAUUGAAAUUUUUUGUCUAAGGUCAUUUGACCUUGUUUGACCUAGGAUAAAUCCCUUGGCCAUUUGUUUGGUGUUUUGAAGGGAUUUGAGGUUUUGUCCUUUUUAAAAUGCAUUUUAAUUCACUUUUAAUUAUUUUUAAUUGAUUAAAUGUUUAAAAAUUAUGUUGAGCCAUUUUUAUGGUCUUGUGAUGUUUGACUUUCUGUUUGGAUCUUGGUCAUGGUUGAUUUAACUUUUGUUUGAUCAAUACCAUUGGAUUUAGGGGAUUGUUGAAAUGUACAUUUCAUCUCCCAAAAUGAAUGGAUAGUAUUGAUCAGAUGAAAUUCCUAUCAUGAUCAAUUUGUGUUUCUAUUUCCCCUUCCCUCUUCAUCUUCAUCCCUAUUCUUUCCCAAUCCCUCAUUGACCAAUGAAAUCUCUUCAUGUUUAAUGCUAGUUGAUUCAUCAACGACCUUGUGUCAAAUGAAUCAACAUGAGCCAGAAUGAGAUAGGUCCUCCCCCCAUUUCUUUUAAGUGUUUAGUAUGUUUUAGGAGUCUGGUUCCUUAUACCAAAUCUCUAACAUGCAUUAACACCUAUAUUUUUAUUGCCCGACCAUAAUGUAGCGGUAAAUUCAUGACCACUAAGUUAUGGAUAAGCUUAACAUCAAUAAAACCAGAGUCGCCACUGUGCUUUUAUUGUUUCCAAAGGAAAAAGGAAAGGUAGGAACAAUACCCAAAGAUAAGAAGUUUUCAAAUCAAAACUAAUAAAAUGCCAGAGACUACAGGUAAGGGGGUUGGUUACACAGAGGGAAGGUGUUAGCCCCCAAAGUGUCCUAGGUACUCCUAGGGAGCCUUUUUUUAUGUGUGCAUGUGUUUUUGGUAUAAAUGAUGUUUGAAAAAAAAAUAGAGUGUGGGGAUGAGAAAAGAAUUCAUUGAUUAUAUUUUUGUGUUUGACAAGACCUUCGGACUUGUGCCUACGUACCAACAUAAAAAUGAGGGAUCAAAACCUCGUAGUUCGUGGUAACAAAUGAGAAAAGAAUUCAUUGAUUAUAUUUUUGUGUUUGACAAGACCUUCGGACUUGUGCCUACGUACCAACAUAAAAAUGAGGGAUCAAAACCUCGUAGUUCGUGGUAACAAUUUCAAAGUUGGUGAACUGCUUUUAACAAAAUUUUAAAUGAAAAGGCACCAAGGGGCCAAAAAAAUUGAAUGGGUUUGUUAGUUCUUUUUAUCUUUUUUUGAAAUUUUAAGUAAAUAUGAUUAAGUUUAUUUACAAUUUUGACUUAAGAAAGAGUUUGAAAAUUCAAUGGCAUAAGGCCAAAGUUUCUAAUCAUUUAAACAAAGUCUAAGUUUGAAAUCACAAGCAAAGAAAGUUUUUGACAAGGGGGAGAGAUUUUGAAAUUUAAGAAGUGGGAGGAGAUGAAGAGGCUAUCCUAAGCGUAAAAUUAAAAGUUAAUAGUUGAAAAGAUUUGACCAAUGGGAUGCAAUCUAACAGACAAGAAUGUCAUAUAGAAACUCGUUUUCCCUUGGACUUUGAAUCAAGCAAUAAUCAAUAAGCAAUUAGCAAUAUCAGACAUCAUGAAGAUCAAGACAUCAAAUAAAGAUAGCCAUAUCUAAGCAAGCAACUCCUUAGCUAGCAGUCUUCUUUAUCUUCUCAUGUAUCAGAUGGGAUAUUCCUUGAUCAACUUAGAAGAAAGCAUCAGACAUAAGAUCAAAAUAACAAUUAGCACCAAGACAAAGCAACAUAUGAAUUCAAACAGAGUCCCAAGGCUUGCAUCAGAUGAAAGCUUAGUUCACAAUAACUUGAUUUCAAAAUGUUGGCAUUGGCCAAGUCCUUUUUGCACAGGGAAUGUUGCCUAAUCCUAAGUCCAAAGGUUCAGAUUAAGAUCAACAGUCCACCAAACAUUUUUUUAGGGUUUUUUGUUGUUUAUUAUGUAUUUUAAGGUCCUAAGACCAUAAACAAAAUCAAAAUGCACAAACAAAUAUAUACAAUCACAAGAUAUGGCUCAAAUGAGCAAAGUGAAAAUGACAUAAACAUAAACAAGUUAAAUGAAAUGUAAAUGACAAUGAAUGAUAAAUGACUGAAAAUUAAAUUGCAUAAAGUAAAUGACUUGAAAGUAAAGCGAUAUUAAUAAGAAUUAGUCAUAUGUUAGUCAACUGUUAGUGGUAUUUUUGUUUUUUAAUGGAUUAAGUCAUUAUUUGGAGAACACUCAACCAUCCAUUCACAAGCACGGGUCCUUAAACCAAGACAUCUUCGAUGGUGUCGUACCCCAAUUUUGUCCGAGCAUAUUUAAAUUUUUUCAUACAAUCGAUCUCAUUUUUUUUCAUCACAUACAUACCAUUACAUACAUUUGCAUCAUGAAUAAAUGCCUAAAAUGUCAGUCGAAAUGAAUUUAUUGGAGAAUACAGACAAAAUCAGUUGAAUCGUUAAAAUUUGAGGAAAACAGUGUAUUUUUCAAAUAAUAUGUUUUGUGCUGAUACCUCAUUACAAGAAUCUCCCCUACCUUGCUAAAGGAUGGGUCAUUGUGUGCUGAAGGAGAUAACACCUGCAUACUCUAACAAUAUGCCUCACAGGCUACGACGCCAAUGCUCCUGUGAGUAUCACAUGGGUGCCCCAAGGCAUACAAUAAAGAAUUGUAAGGCUUUCAAAGCACAAGGUUCAAAGAUUUGAUUGACAGUAUAGAUUAUUCACGCCGCGUCGACGGCCAAAACGUUGCAACAAACCACCAUGCCGGCGCAUGCACGAGUCGAAGUGAACCUCGAAAGAUAAAAGCUCCCACGGCCUGAACAAACAAAGCAAAGUUCCGCCGAAGAAUCCAAAGAUGAAGGCAUGUUCAUUUGAAUGAAGGCAUCAUUAUGCCCUUCUUUAACCAAUUUCACAUUCUUUGUAAUUUUGAUCUUGUUUGUUUAAGUAAUUUGUUAUGCUUUGAACAAUUGUUGUUUUAAUUUGGUCUUAUUAAUGGGAUAAUUAUAAUGCAUGCCGUUUGAAUCAAUCUUUCCAUAUUCAGCUCAAUUAUACAUUUGCUAUGCACAAAACACAUACUUUUUCACCUCACAUUCUUCAAUCACACAUGUUAGUAAAUGUUUGGAAGGAGGAUGACAAAACAAAAAUCUCAUAAUUAACUGAUCGUAUCUUUCGGAUAAAAUCCUACUAAUGAUGUAUAGACAUUGUUUCAAAUCCCCAAACACUGGAGAGAUAGAGGAGUUAAUCCCUAGUCAACACUCGAGCCUAGAAGUAGGAGUAUUUCUUUCGGAUCUAAAAAAAACCCUUACGUUAACCUGGGCAGGGUAGUGUUCAGUUAAUUUGACUACACAUUUAAAAUUUACAAGAAUAAAUAUCCAUACAAAGGAUCAACCAUAUGACAUUGCUUCCACACACAUCUUGAGUGUCGAGGAACCAUCUACAAAUCAAAUUUAUGUCGGUUGUUUCUGUAAUAUGACCAAUGACUGUGGCAGUCUCAAAUUUCAAAAAAAAGGUCAGAGAUAGAGCCCGCUAAGUCCAACAGCCGCGCCUUAAAAGGGGACCUUAGGAAAAAACAGGGGCAAUCCCGAUGGAUUAAAAGCUGGCAGACAAAGCGUCCCAUGCAAAAAGUUAGUGGAUCAAAACAAACCAAAAAUCAAGAGACUAAUGAAAGUCUCCCAACAAAAAAAACAAGAUCAGUGACCACGCAUAACCGAAAAUCCAAGACAGGGUCACCGGACAUCAAAAAAACGAAAUAAGUGCUCGCCAUCCAAGAAACCUUGAAUCACAUCUAUUAUCCUUACACCUGCCAAAGAACGAAUGAGUGGUUGAAUUAACUGAACAUGGCAUUGGAGAUCAUCAUGAAAGAAAAGGGUGGGUUAAAAUACUUGAGCCUUAUAUCCUUUUUGUUUCAAUAACCAUGACCAGCCACUUACCAACCUUCAAAAGACCUAAUUGAAGUAGGGUUCUGUUCUGAAAGCAUACUUAUAAGCACAGGUUGAAGUAAACUGACUCCUAAGAGAUUUGCUAAUAUUCCUCUUCUCACUAAUAUCACUCACACACUAGCUAAAUCCAAGCACGCUCGUUUGGACACAUGGUCCACCGUCACACAUUCACCACACACACUCCAAAUGAGCACGUGCGUAAUUGUUUUUUUACUAUAGCUUGCAUAACUAUUGCCAUUAAAAAUCAACCAUUUCUGGAAUAACAAUUCUUAAUUGUCAGUCCAGUACUUUGAAUCAAGAAAAUUCCAAGAAGGGCCAUUCAAGAGGCCACUUGAUCGUUGGUGCUGAACACAAUCAGAGCACCGCUGUGAAAUCAGGGGCAUGUCAUCUUUUGAUCAUGUUGACACUAAGAAGUAGCCAGUAUAAGACAAAUCUCCAAGCAUCGUUGAUCAGGGAGGAAAGACACUUAAAAUACCUCCAGGCAGUCCGGGGCAGGUUCCCUCAAAGGCUAAUCAGGGCAGGAACCCCCAAGCCCAGAUUUGUUUUUGAACCAAUCAGAAAAAACCCAAAAACUCAGACGCACGUCAUGGAUAAUCACUGCCCUAAAAGUUUCCUGUCAAGGGGAAAAAAGGGCAAAUUCCUUAUUGAACACGCCUACAGUCAGGGCAAGACGAUUUGCAAGGGGCAGAUUUCCUUCAUAUCUUCAAGUCAGUCCAAGCAGAUUGCAUCAGACACUAGUGACUGCUUGAAUUUCACAAGUAGUCGAAAGUUCAUAUCGCAUAACAAUAUCAUAAUCCUUCAUGACAGAAUACCAUUAGGGCACUGUCGGCUGGCACGAUCAUCAUGCGUUGAUCACGUCGCUAUGCUCAGUUACAGGCUGGCCAGACAAUCUCAAAGGAAGAGAUCGAUGUCUCUCGAAGACAAAUCACACAUGUAUCAGCAAGAGUCAAACUGGAUGGGGCCACCCAGAGUAUCCGCAUCUACUGCGUGUUCAUCAUAUCAUCAAACUACGAGGUGUCGGGAAGAUCAGAAUCUUCCACUAACCGCGAUGGUCCAAAUCUACAUUGACAAUUACCAGAAAGACCAAAGCCCCACCUCGCUGGCAUCCACAAUAAAACGCAAAUAGAACCAGCAUUGGUUUCACAAAUACAUUGCCUUUUGAAAAGGGGGCCAAUCCAAAACAAACCAAUACAUCUUUGCAUUGCAAACCAUGCAUCAACCAUGCACAUAUGCGAUCACUCAUUACAUAAUGCAUACAUGAAUAUUUAUCCAAUGACAAAAUAUCAAAAAUCCAAGUUUUAGGUCGUUAGGAUCCAAGGCCAGCCCCUCAGUUGAGUCAUUGUUUUCUGAGUGAGUUUCCUAACCCUGCCUAUCGGGCGCGUUCCCAGUGGACGUUUACAUCUUUAACUUUUGUUGAAUAAAGAUGUUAUCUCUCAGCUAAGUCAAACAAUGUUUUCCAACACUUUACCGUGUUUCGCGUUGAGCGUCCCUCAUUGAGUCCCGUUUUCAUGUACCUUUUGUUGAUGGGGAAACUAGCACCUCCCUAGAGGAGUAUUAUUGUUCUGCAACCUUUAUGUUGGUGGACUACCCGAAGCAAAGUCCUUACGUCAGUAUGUUUCCAACACUACUCAGCAAAUCAGGUUAGUAUGAACUUUGACCAGUAGCCUAUUUUUCCAAUAUUCUUUUCUCCAACUAUCCAUCCUUUUGGUGAAAGUCCGUUGAAGAAUAAAUUGAUCAUCGUCUGUUUAUGAUCACACCGUUAUCCUUUUGGUAAUGGUACAUCCUUGCAUUUGUGAACUUACUGCUCAUCCUUUUGGUGUCGACGAUCCCUUGAAAGUUUUGGGCCCUACCUUCAAUCUUUGGUGAGAUGGCGACCUCUGCAAUAUUACAGUCUACCGUCAUCCCUUUUGGUGUCGGCGAUCCUUAUGGGAUAGGCCGCUUGGUCAUUUUGGUUCAAUCAUCAUCCUUUUGGGAUGACGUCCAGUUUAAUCCAAUAUCAAUCUUUUGUGGAUAGAGAAUGAUGGAGUUCAGUUUAAGCUAUCAAUCCUUUUGGUGAUGGUGACCAUUUGGAAAAGUGCCAACCCGCACUGUCAUCCUUUUGGUGUCAGUAAUAUUUGAAGUUCAUUAUAACUUAUUAUCACCUUUUGGUGGUAACCAAGUUUCAAAGUUUAUGAUCUCACCUCAUCCUUUUUGGUGAUGGUGAGGUUGUGGAUUCCAUUAUCAUACCUUUUGUGAUAACGGUUCUGUGUUGUGUAGUACCGUUCAUCCAUUUUGUGAGGUGACUAUUGAUCUUAUUAUCAUCCUUGUUGGUGAUGAAACAAGUUGUUGUUGGAUGGUCCUUACCUCAUCCUUUUCGGUUGACGGUGACCAUUUGAGUUAUGGGGCUCAUUAUCAUCCUUUUGGUGAUAACAGUUUGUUUUUGAUCUACCCUCAAUCCUUUGGUGAUGGCGAUCACUGAGUCUGUUUCAGGUUAUCAUCAUCCUUUUUGUGAAACAAGUAUUGAAGAUCCUGUCUUUAUCAUCCUUUUGGUGAUAAACAAGUUCGGCUUUGGUUUGAUCUUACUGUCACACUUUUGGUGUCAGUGAUAUUUACGGUUGUUGACUUAUUAUCAUUAUCCUUAUUUGGUGAUAACAAGUUUGGUAGUCUUGAUACCUACCUCAUCCCUUUUGGUGUGGUGAUCAAUUGCGUUAUGUGCUUAUUAUCAUCCUUUCGUGGUAACAAGUUUCGGUCUUUUAAUUAUACCUUCAUCCUUUUGGUGAUGGUUUAUUGUUGAUUAUUAUCAUUCCUUUGGUGGUACGAAGUUUGUGUCUUGGAUCCACCUUCAUCCUUUGGUGAUGGUGAUCAAUUGUCGUGUGUGCUAUUAUCAUCCUUUAGGUGGUAAACAGUUUUGUCUCGUUUGACAAUUACCUUCAUCCUUUUGGUGAUGGUCGAUUGUUGACUUAUUAUCAUCCUUUUUGGUGGUAACAGUUUUGUGUCUUGAUUCUUACCUCAACCUUUUGGUGACUGUGAUCAAAUUGCGGUUGUAAAUGCUUAUUAUCAUGCCUUUGGUGGUCAACAAAGUUUUGUACGUUUGACAAUACUUCAAUCCUUUUGGUGAUGGUGACUGUUUGACUUAUUAUCAUCCUUUUGGUGAUAACAAAGUUUUGUGUCUGAUCCUACCUUCAAUCCUUUUGGUGAAUGGUGAUCACAUUGCGUGUGUGCUUAUUAUCAUAUCCUUUGGGAACAAGUUUUUGUCCGUUUGGCAAUACCUACAAUACCUGUUGGUGAUGGUGAUGUCGACGUUAAUUAUCCAUCCUUUGGUGAUAACAGCUGUGGUGUCUUGGGACCUACCUUCAUCCUUUUGUUGAUGGGUGAUUCAAUUGCGUGUGUAACUUAAUAUCAAUCCUUUUUGGUGAUAACGAGUUUUGUCGUUUGACAAUACCUUAUAUUCCUUUUGAUGAGGUGAUGUUGACGUUAUUAUCAUCCACUUUUUGGUGGUAACAAAGUUUUUGUGUCUUGAUCCUACUCGAUCCUUUUGGUUGAUGGUGGGCAUUGCGUGCUGUAUUAAUCAUCCUUUGGUGGGUAACAUGUUUAUCUUUUAAUUAUGCCUUCACCUUUUGGUGAUGGUGAUUAUCACUCCUUUUGGUGAUACAAGGUUUUGUUUUGCUCAAUUACUAUCAUCCUUUGGUGCUGGUGAUCAUUGAGUUUCGACUUAUUAUCAUCGCUUUUGAGUGAUAACAAGUUUGUCUUGAUAUUACCUUCAUCCUGUUGGUGAUGGUGAUCAAUUGCGUGUGACUUAUAUCGUCCUUGGUGGCGAUAACAAGUUUGUGUCUUUAUAAUUAUACCCUUCAUCCUUUUGGUGAUGGUGAUUGGUUGACUAUUAUCAAUCCUUUUGGUGAUGAACAAGUUGUUGUGUGAUUAUACCUUCAUGCCUUUUGGUGAUGGUGAUCAUUGAAGUUAUUUGACUUCUUAAUAUCCUUUUGGUGGGAUAACAAGUUUUUGUAUUGAUCUUACUUCAAUCCUUUUGGUGACGGUGAUCUUUGAAGUUUGAUGAGUUCAACUAUCAUCCUUUUGGUGAUAGCCCUUGAUACUAUAUCUCGGUAAUAGGAAAACUUUAUCAGAAUAACCACAAAUCCUUUUAGUGACGGCACAUCAUCCUUUUGGUGAAUGAAAACCUUUAAGAUUUGGAUUUGUGUUUAACUUUCAUCCUUUUGGGAUAGCAAAAGAUUUGUUGUUGAAUCUUACCAUCAUCACUUUUGGUGAUGGUGGAUCGUUUGUGUAUCCACUGUAACCAUAAUCUUUUGGUGAUAACUACUCGUUGAAGCUCGGUUUAUCCAUCAUCCUUUUGGUGAUGACAGUCCUGGACAAUCAUGGUGAAUUCUAUCAUCUUUGGUGAUGGACCAUUAACUUGGAUGUCAUCUUUUGGUGUCAGAAAACAAUGUACAGUUUUGUCUUUACAUUAAAAAAAAAAAAAAAACUGUGACAAGAUUUGAAUGUUGACUCGAGGGUUGCACUGAUAUCUGACAUUCUACCCCUACUACCUUGGUGCUGUUAGAAUCCAGUGCAUUUUCUUUCUGCAUCCAUUCCAUUGGCAUUUCAUAAUGAUCAAUAAUUCGGCAUGCCUUUCGUAUUUAAUUAACCUUCCACCACGAAAUGUAUGAUGACCGUUGUCAUUACUAACCUUCUAGUUCAAGAUCAAUUUAAUAGGGCAGACCCCCCCUCCUGAGGUCUUCAUCCAUAUCUAUCAUCAAUUCUAACUUCUCGAAGCAAGCAGAUAAACAGUCAACUAAACAGUCAAAAUAGCAAAAUCAGACUAAGAGGUUCCCGUUGAGUACAACGGACGUAAGGGGUGCUAAUACCUUCCCCUUGCGUAAUCGACUCCCGAACCCGAAUAUGGUUGGGAUGACCAUUAUUCUUAUCUUUAAAGGUUUUCUCGAUAUUUUCAUAUUCCUUCAUUGGAAUAAAUAAAGUUCGGUGGCGACUCUGUUUCGAACAUUUUUUCCGCGUCCUAUCGCGAGGGAUUGCAUUAUCAUCAUUUUUUGAGGUGUGACAGACUGGCGACUCUGCUGGGGACCCUGCUCCAAGCAAGAGAGAGUCUAGCCUAACUUAGUCUGAUUUUGCUAUGACUGUUGGAAGAUAUUUUUUUUCCAUGUUUAUUUCUCUGUAUUUUAUUUUGAUUUCUUGUGUUGUAUGUAAUUUGUCUCGAUACUUUGAUAUGGGACUUGGUGUAUGCUGUGAGAUAAGCUCCAUACCCGAGCUUCGAGAAAAACUUAGAACCCGGAGUUGUGUAGUAUUGAACCGGGGGGUGUACACCUCAUUGGGACAAUACGAAGACUCUUUGGAGUUUCCCCAUCAACAAUAAUGGCUAACCAUCAUUGUGGGGGAGGUUUAACACGAUCUGUGACUUCUAGAGACCUCGCCUUAAACCCCAAGUUUUUGUUCAUGAUUGGUGAUUAUGUCCGAAGGGUCUACACCCUGUUCGAACAAUACGAGAAUCCCACUUAGAUUAGAUCAGUUCAGAACUCCCAUCACGAUGUGGCUAGCCCACCAUUGCGAGGAAGUUUUGAACUUGAUCCGUGAGUCUAAGUUCCUUCCUUGAAAAUAUAACUUUAGAACCUACCUUUGGGAAUUUCUAGUGAUCAAAGAAACCUUUGCUUCUUCCAGUUGUACUGAUGUACUCGACAUGUGGAUAAUUUUGAGUCUGUAUUCCUCUGUGAAAAUCAUGGCAAAACUUCAUGCAUUUGCAUAUCAUCAACAUGCAUUGCAUAUCAUCUCCCAGAAACAAAAACUCACACCAUAUUCUACCCUUUGUCCAGUAACGCUGACCACUCGACACCGGUACGAGACACGCCGCAACUACAAGAUGACACUUGAACAGUUGGAAGAAAACCAGGUUUCGAUGAGAACCGACAUUGACUCCAUGCAGGCAAAGAUGGAUCGCUUAAUGGAAACCAUGUUACUCUUAGCCCAAAAGGAAAAGGAUGCAGAGACUAGCGCUGAAGUCAGGAAAGUUGCUGCCCAGUUUGGAUCGCCAUCACUUAGCAUCCCUGGAGUAACUGACCUCGAUGGUAACCCAACCCAGCUUGGAGGAGGACCGAUCCAUAUUCCUGUUCCCAUGGUCAACAUGAACCCCCACGAGCAUUCUCCUACAUCUGCUUGCCAUGGAUCCAUGAUGGGUGAUGAAGAUCCAUACGACGCCUUCUUCAUGCCACAACCCGCCAAACCUGCUGUUGGGGGUCUCCCAGACCCAACUGUUGAUAGACUCCAUGCUUUGGAGGAAAAGUUUAAGUCCUUGGAGGUUCACACUACUCCCGGUUUGGACGUUGUUGACAUGUGCCUGGUGCCAGGAUUGGUGAUUCCACAGAAGUUCAAAGUCCCGGACUUUGAAAAAUACAAAGGGAUCAGUUGCCCGAGAACUCACCUCAGAGCCUACUGUCGCAAAAUGGCUGCCCACAUCAGUAAUGAUCAACUCCUAACUUAUUACUUCCAAGAUAGUCUCAGUGGGGCAUCCUUGGAGUGGUACAUGCAACUAGAGAGAGGUCAGGUCCAGUCGUGGAGAGACCUUGCUGAAGCAUUCCUAAGGCAUUAUCAGUACAAUACUGAUCUAGCGCCCAACCGCACCCAACUGCAAGACAUGACUCAACGCAACAACGAGUCAUUCAAGGAAUACGCCCAGCGUUGGAGAGAGCUAGCAGCUCGUGUUCAACCUCCUCUCCUUGACAAAGAGUUAAUCGACAUGUUUAUGGGAACCCUGCACACCCAAUACAUGGAAAAGAUGGUAGGAUCCAGUUUCCCAACUUUUGCUGAGGUCGUCUCCGUGGGAGAACGGAUCGAGAGCCAGAUCAAGAAAGGAAAGCUACCUUGUGCUGCUAAUGCUUCAAGUGGGAUAAAGAAGCCUUAUCCCAACCUCCCAAAGAAGCCAGAAGGGCAGACCAAUGCCAUAACGAGAGGAGGAGGAUAUAGGGCACCUCCAUAUGCUCAUACGCCUUAUCAUCAGGUUUCCACGGUCAUCCCAACGCCAUAUCAGCCUCCACACCAGCAACCAUAUCAGAAACCAUAUCAACAACAGUAUCAACAACCUUAUCAACAGCCGGCUUACCAACAACAAUAUCAGAAUCAACAGCAACGUGCUCCACAACGUCAACCUAACCAGCAAAGGGCAAGGAGGCCAGAGAGACAUUUCGAUCCUCUGCCAGUAUCAUAUAGCAAGAUCCUCCCCUACCUGCUAAAGGAUGGGUCAAUUGUGCUGAAGGAGAUAACACCUGCAACUCUACCAUAUCCUCCAGGCUACGACGCCAAUGCUCACUGUGAGUAUCACAUGGGUGCCCCAAGGCAUACAAUAGAGAAUUGUAAGGCUUUCAAGCACAAGGUUCAAGAUUUGAUUGACAGUAAAGCACUUACAUUCACGCCAGUGAGGCCAAACGUUGCAACAAACCCCAUGCCGGCGCAUGCAGAGUCGAGUGAACCUCGAAGAUAAAGCUCCCCACCGGCCUGAACAAACAAAGCAAUUCCGCCGAAGAAUCCAAAGAUGAAGGCAUGUUCAUUUGAAUGAAGGCGAUCAUUAUGCCCUUCUUUACCAUUUCACAUUCUUGUAAUUUGAUCUUGUUUGUUUAAGUAUUGUAUGCUUUGAACAUUGUUGUUUUUAUUUGGUCUUAUUAAUGGGAUAAUUAUGCAUGCUUUGAAUCAAUCUUUCAUAUUCACUCAUAUUAUCACAUUUGCAUAUCACAAACACAUACUUUUUCACCUCACUUUCUUCAUCACACUAUUGUUAGUAAAUGUUGGAAGGAGGAUGACGAAAACAAAAUACUCAUAAUUACUGAUCGUAUGCUUUCGGAUAAAAUCCUACUAAUGAUGUAUAGACAUUGUUUCAAAUCCCCAAACACUGGAGAGAUAAGGAGUUAAUCCCUAGUCAACCACUUCGAGCCUAGAAGUAGGAGUUUCUUUCGGAUCUAAAAAAACCCUUACGCUUAACCUGGGGCAGGGUAGUGUUCAGUUAAUUUGACUACACAUUUAAAUUUACAAGAUGAAAUAUCCCAUACAAGGAUCAACCAUAUGACAUUCUUCACACACAUCUUGAAGUGUCGAAGGAACCAUACAAAUCCAAAUUUUAUGUCGGUUGUUCUGUAAUGACCAAUGACUUGGCAGUCUCAAUUUCAAAAAAGGUCAGAGAAAGAGCCCGCUAAGUCCAACACCUUAAAAGGGGACUUAGGAAAAAACAGGGGCAAUCCCGAUGGAUUAAAGCUGCAGACAAAGCGGUCCAUGCAAAAGUUAGGGAUCAAAACAAAAAUCAAGAGACUAUGAAAGUCUCCAACAAAACAAAACAAGAUUCAGUGACCACCAUACCAAAAUCAAAGGGUCACCGACAUCCAAAAAAACGAAAUAAGGUGGCUGCCAUUCCAAGAAACCUUGAAUCACCAUCUUUAUCCUUACACCUGCAAAAGACGAAUGUGUGUGAAUUAACUGAACAUGGGAUUGGAGAUCAUCAUGAAGAAAGGGUGGGUUAAAAUAAACUUUGAGCCUUAUAUCCUUUUGUUUCAAUAACCAUGAACCAAGCCACGUUACAACCCUCAAAAGACCUAAUUGAAGUAGGGUUUGUUCUGAAAGCAUACUAUAGCAAGGUAUUUUGUUUCAAUAACCAUGAACCAAGCCACGUUACAACCCUCAAAAGACCUAAUUGAAGUAGGGUUUGUUCUGAAAGCAUACUAUAGCAAGGUUGAGUAAACUGACUCCUAGAGAUUUGCUAAUAUUCUCUUCUCACUAUAUCACUCACACACUAGCUAAAUCAAGCACCGCGUUUGGACACAUGGUCCACUCGUCACACAUUACCACAACACUCCAAAUGAAUGAUUGUUUUUCAAAGCUUGCAUAACUAUUGCAUUAAAAUCACCAUUUCUUGGAUAACAAUUCUUAAUUGUCAGUCAGUACUUGACAUCAAGAAAAUUCCAAGAAGGGGCAAUUCAAGAGGCACUUGAUCGUUGGUGCUGACACAAAUCAAGACCAUCCUGUGAAUCAGGGGCAUGUCAUCUUUUGAUCAUGUUGACAUAAGAAGUAGCCAGUAUAAGACAAAUCUCCAAGCAUCGGUUGAUCAGGGAGGAAAGACACUUAAAUACUCAGGCAGUCCGGGGCAGGUUCCUCAAAGGCUAAUCAGGGGCAGACCAUAGCCAGAUUUGGACAUCAGAAAACAAACUCAGACCACGUCAUGGGAUAAUCACUCCUAAAAGUUUCCUGUCAAGGAGAAUUCCUUUGAACACCCUACAGUCAGGGGCAAGACGAUUUGCAAGGGGCAGAUUUCCUUCAUAUCUUCAAGUCAGUCAAGCAGAUUGCAUCAGACCUACAGUCAGGGGCAAGACGAUUUGCAAGGGGCAGAUUUCCUUCAUAUCUUCAAGUCAGUCAAGCAGAUUGCAUCAGACACUAGUGACUGCUUGAAUUCACAAGUGUCGAAAGUUCAUACCAAUACAAUAUCAUACCUUGACAAGAAUCCUUAGGGCACGUCAGGGGCACGAUCAUCAUGCGUUGAUCACGUCGCUAUGCUCAGUUACAGGCUGGCCAGACAUCUCAAAGGAAGAGAUCGAGAUCUUCUCGAAGACAAAUACACAAUGUAUCAGCAAGAGAUCAAACUUGGGGCACCAAGAGUAUCCGCAUCUACUGCGUGUUCAUCAUAUCAUCAACUACCGAGUGUCGGGAAGUCAGAUCCUUCCACCAACCGAUGGUCCAAUCUACAUUGACAAUUACCAGAAAGACCAAAGCCCACCUCGCUGGCAUCCACAUAAAACCAAAUAGAACCAGCAUUGGUUUCACAAAAUACAUUGCUUUUGAAAAGGGAGGCCAAUCCCAAACAAACCAAUCAUCCUUUGCAUUCAAACAUGCAUCACAUGCAUCAUAUGCAUCACCUCAUUACAUAAAUGCAUACAUGAUAUUUAUCCAUAUGACACAAAUCAAAAUCCAAGUUUUAGUCGUAGGCAUCCAGGCCAGCCCUCAGUUGAGUCAUUGUUUUUCUGAGUGAGUUCCUACCCUGCUAUCGGGCGUUCCCCAUGGAGUUACAUCUUUCAACCUUUUGUUGAUAAGAUGUUAUCCUCAGCUAAGUCAAACAAUGUUUCUCCAAACACUUACCGUGUUUCGCGUUGAGCGUCCCUCAUUGAGUCGUUUCAUGUAACCUUUUGUUGAUGGAAACUACACCUCCCUAGAGAGUAUUUGUUCUGCAACCUUUUGUUGGUGGAUACCCCAAGCAAGUCUUACUCAGUAAUGUUCCAACACUACUCAGCAAAUCAGGUUAACUGAACUUUGACAGUAGCCUUAUUUUUCCAAUAUUUUUUCUCACUAUCAUCCUUUUGGUGAAAGUCCGUUGAAGAAUAAUAUUGAUCAUCGUCCUGUUUAUGAUCACCGUUAUCCUUUUGGUAAUGGUAAAUCCUUGGCAUUUGUGAACUUACUGUCAUCCUUUUGGUGUCGACGAUCCUUGAAGUUUUGGGCCUAACCUUCAUCCUUUUGGUGAAUGGCGACCUCUGCAAUUAUUACAGUCUACCGUCAUCCUUUUGGUGUCGGCGAUCCUUAUGGUGAUAAGGCCCUUGUCAUUUUGGUUCAAUCAUCAUCCUUUUGGUGAUGACGUCCAGUUUAAUCCAAUAUCAUCCUUUUGGUGAUAGAGAAUAUGGAGUUCAGUUUAAGCUAUCAUCCUUUUGGUGAUGGUGACAUUUGGAAAGUCCAACCCCACUGUCAUCCUUUUGGUGUCAGUAAUAUUUGAAGUCAUUAUAACUUAUUAUCAUCCUUUUGGUGGUAACAAGUUUCAAAGUUAUGAUCUCACCUUCAUCCUUUUGGUGAUGGUGAUUGUGGAUUCAUUAUCAUCCUUUUGGUGAUAACGAGUUCUGUUGUUUGUAGUACCUUCAUCCUUUUGGUGAUGGUGACUAUUGACUUAUUAUCAUCCUUUUGGUGAUAACAAGUUUUGUUGAUUGGUCUUACCUUCAUCCUUUUGGUGACGGUGACCAUUUGAGUUAUGGGCUCAUUAUCAUCCUUUUGGUGAUAACGAGUUUUGUUUUGAUCUUACCCUCAUCCUUUUGGUGAUGGCGAUCACUGAGUCUGUUUCAGGUUAUCAUCAUCCUUUUUGUGAUAACAAGUUUUGAAGUUCUGUCCUUAUUAUCAUCCUUUUGGUGAUAACAAGUUCGGUUUGUUUGAUCUUACUGUCAUCCUUUUGGUGUCAGUGAUAUUUAAGGUUGUUGACUUAUUAUCAUCCUUUUGGUGAUAACAAGUUUGUGUCUUGAUCCUACCUUCAUCCUUUUGGUGAUGGUGAUCAAUUGCGUUAUGUGCUUAUUAUCAUCCUUUCGGUGGUAACAAGUUUCGUCUUUUAAUUAUACCUUCAUCCUUUUGGUGAUGGUUAUUGUUGACUUAUUAUCAUCCUUUUGGUGGUAACAAGUUUGUGUCUUGAUCCUACCUUCAUCCUUUUGGUGAUGGUGAUCAAUUGCGUGUGUGCUUAUUAUCAUCCUUUAGGUGGUAACAAGUUUUGUCGUUUGACAAUACCUUCAUCCUUUUGGUGAUGGUGAUUGUUGACUUAUUAUCAUCCUUUUGGUGGUAACAAGUUUGUGUCUUGAUCUUACCUUCAUCCUUUUGGUGAUGGUGAUCAAUUGCGUUGUAUGCUUAUUAUCAUCCUUUUGGUGGUAACAAGUUUUGUCGUUUGACAAUACCUUCAUCCUUUUGGUGAUGGUGACUGUUGACUUAUUAUCAUCCUUUUGGUGAUAACAAGUUUGUGUCUUGAUCCUACCUUCAUCCUUUUGGUGAUGGUGAUCAAUUGCGUGUGUGCUUAUUAUCAUCCUUUUGGUGGUAACAAGUUUUGUCGUUUGGCAAUACCUUCAUCCUUUUGGUGAUGGUGAUUGUCGACUUAUUAUCAUCCUUUUGGUGAUAACAAGUUGGUGUCUUGAUCCUACCUUCAUCCUUUUGGUGAUGGUGAUCAAUUGCGUGUGUACUUAUUAUCAUCCUUUUGGUGAUAACGAGUUUUGUCGUUUGACAAUACCUUUAUCCUUUUGGUGAUGGUGAUUGUUGACUUAUUAUCAUCCUUUUGGUGGUAACAAGUUUGUGUCUUGAUCCUACCUUCAUCCUUUUGGUGAUGGUGAGCAAUUGCGUGCGUGCUUAUUAUCAUCCUUUUGGUGGUAACAUGUUUUAUCUUUUAAUUAUGCCUUCAUCCUUUUGGUGAUGGUGAUUAUCAUCCUUUUGGUGAUAACAAGGUUUUGUUUUGAUCUUACUAUCAUCCUUUUGGUGAUGGUGAUCAUUGAGUUUCGACUUAUUAUCAUCCUUUUGGUGAUAACAAGUUUGUCUUGAUAUUACCUUCAUCCUUUUGGUGAUGGUGAUCAAUUGCGUGUGACUUAUUAUCGUCCUUUUGGCGAUAACAAGUUGUGUCUUUUAAUUAUACCUUCAUCCUUUUGGUGAUGGUGAUUGUUGACUUAUUAUCAUCCUUUUGGUGAUAACAAGUUUGUUGUGUGAUUAUACCUUCAUCCUUUUGGUGAUGGUGAUCAUUGAAGUUAUUUGACUUCUUAUCAUCCUUUUGGUGAUAACAAGUUUUGUAUUGAUCUUACCUUCAUCCUUUUGGUGACGGUGAUCUUUGAAGUUGAUGAGUCAACUAUCAUCCUUUUGGUGAUAGCCUUGAUACUAUACUCUCGGUAAUAGGAAACUUUAUCAGAAUAACCAUCAUCCUUUUAGUGACGGACAUCAUCCUUUUGGUGAUGAAAACCUUUAGAUUUGGAUUGUGUUUAACUUUCAUCCUUUUGGUGAUAGCAAGAUUUGUUGUUGAUCUUACCAUCAUCCUUUUGGUGAUGGUGAUCUUUGUUGUAUCCACUGUAACCAUCAUCCUUUUGGUGAUAACUACUGUUGAAGCUCGGUUUAUCCAUCAUCCUUUUGGUGAUGACAGUCCUGACAAUCAUGGUGAAUUCUAUCAUCCUUUUGGUGAUGACCAUUAACUUGGAUUGUCAUCCUUUUGGUGUCAGAAAACAUGUACAGUUUUGUCUUUACAUUAAAAAAAAAAAAAAAAAACUGUGCAAGAUUUGAAUGUUGACUCGAGGGUUGGCACUGAUCUGACAUUCUACCCCUACUACCUUGGUGCUGUUAGAAUCCAUUGCAUUUUCUUUCUGCAUCCAUUCCAUUGCAUUUCAAAUGACAAAAUUCGGAUCCUUUCGUAUUUAAUUACCUUCCACCACGAAUGUAUGAUGACCGUUGUCAUUCCUACCUUCUAGUUCAAGAUAAUUAAAUAGGGGCAGCCGUCGUACCCCAAUUUUGUCCGGGCAUAUUUAAAUUUUUUCAUACAAUCGAUCUCAUUUUAUUUUUUUUCAUCACAUACAUACCAUUACAUACAUUUUCAUCAUGAAUAAAUGCCUAAAAUGUCAGUCGAAAUGAAUUUAUUGGAGAAUACAGACAAAAUCAGUUGAAUCGUUAAAAUUUGAGGAAAACAGUGUAUUUUUCAAAUAAUAUGUUUUGUGCUGAUAAACAUCAUGAAUAAAUGCCUAAAAUGUCAGUCGAAAUGAAUUUAUUGGAGAAUACAGACAAAAUCAGUUGAAUCGUUAAAAUUUGAGGAAAACAGUGUAUUUUUCAAAUAAUAUGUUUUGUGCUGAUAAUUUUGGUGUGAUUGAUUUAAUUUUCCGAAUAAAUUUGUACUCGAUUUUUGUUUUAAUGGGUCAAUAUUUUUGAAGAAAUUAGAAUGAUAUUUAAUUAAAUAUUAGUUAGAUUUUUUAAAAUAUUAGUUAGUUUUUUUAGAUAUUAAUUAGAAUCAAAUAUUAAUUAGAUUUUUCUUUGUUGAUUUUAUUUUUCUUAAAUAAAUAAUAAGUAUAAAAUAAAUAAAUAGUAAAUUAUAGCAUUGGAUUCUUGUGAGGAAAUGCCAGCUUGCAUAUUUUCUUCACCCUUCACACGUGUCCCUCCGCUCACAAUCUCUCAAGACUCUUCUCUCCACUAUUUCUCCCACUCCCUCAUUUUCGUCCCUCACAGACACUCACACUCCACUCCCCAACGUCUCUCUCCACUGCUAACAACCUCACGCUCUCUCUCUCUAAAAGACCCUCACCUUCCACUCAUUUUUACGGACAACCCACAAACCCUUCUUUCACUCUCUCUCACGCAAAAGAGAAAACAGAAAGAGAAGGCGGAAGAGAAGAAGAAAAACCCUUCUUGUUCUCCAACCCCGCCGCAAACCUCCGAACCCUUUCUCCUCUCACUGACCAAAAACCCAUCACAACCUCCGUCUCCACUACCUUCAAAACACAAGCUCAGCCGCCGUCAACCUCCACUGCCGCCGCGGAUUCACCACCGCGAAACCAUCGACCACCCAAAACCCACCGUAAACCUUCAAAAUCCCAAUCGUCAAACCCUUCUUCAUCACAACACAUUCACCGCCGCCACUACCUUAAACCUCCAAAUCCACCAAACCCUAAACCAUCGCUCACCCCCAAUCGCCGCUCACUUUGAAUCUCCGCCGUUUACCACCAACACCACAACCAACAAAUACCCUCCUUCAACACAAACCCUCACACCAUCAUCGAAACCCUCACUCAACAACCGUUUCAACCAUGGCACCACCCAGCUCGGAACGGCAAAACGCGUCCCCAAGGUAGACGUUCCGCCGGAACAGGUGCAGUCAAAAAGCGACGGCUUGGAUCUAUACCAACAAUAUCUUGAAUAGGAUAGUGGAUCUGUCGAAGAUCUUACGGCGCUCACAAGAUACCUUUCUGUUCUAAUGGAAAUCCCGCGACAACCAUGAACUCAGAGCAGCAAACAGAACAUGACAAUUUGAUCAUUUUGGUAGUAUUUCGGUUAAAGCGUCGGAUUUAAGUUUAUGUUGUUUCUAAUGAGUUUACAUUCAGUUUUCAGAUAAGCGAUAUACUUUAAAUUUGCUGCUUUUACCUUCUGUAUGACUACAGUCUUCACGUUUGAAAAUUAAUUAUGGUGACUCAUGGAUGUUUCGAUAGGGUUUCCAGCUUGGUUUGUUUGUGUUGUUUAAAUUGAGGAUACGAAUGAGUUAGUUUAUGGACUGAGAACCUGUAGAUAAUGAACGACUGUGAUCUUGUUUUGAUUAUAGCAUUUGUUUCUUUCCUAUAAGUGUUUGUAUUAAAAUGUGAUUAGAUUACCGCUUGAAGCUUGUUUAGACAUUACAAGUGUGUUAUAUUGACUGUUAGAUGUAUUAGUUUUGUGGGAAGAUUUUUUGUGAAAUUAAAGUUUAUUUUCCCAUCAGUGUUAUCAAUAGAACAAAUGGAUAUUGGUUGAAAUGCUGAACAGUUCGUUUCUUUAUUCUGUACUAGCUGAAUUUGGUUUUGCAUUAGCUGCACCUUUUGAGGUCUCCUUGGACAUGAUUUAUUUCUAUUCUAUUCUAAUAAGAAGUCAAGUAGAU